UACGAAGGGUGCAAGCGUUAAUCGGAAUUACUGGGCGUAAAGGGUGCGUAGGCGGCCUGUUAAGUUCGAUGUGAAAGCCCUGGGCUCAACCUGGGAAUGGCAUCGAAGACUGGGAGGCUGGAGUGCGGUAGAGGGUGGUGGAAUUCCCGGUGUAGCGGUGAAAUGCGUAGAGAUCGGGAGGAACAUCUGUGGCGAAGGCGGCCACCUGGACCAGCACUGACGCUGAGGCACGAAAGCGUGGGGAGCAAACAGG
rnacentral:misc_RNA from 1 species